rnacentral:rRNA from 1 species
UAACUUCGGGAAACCGGAGCUAAUACCCCAUAAGCCCUUCGGGGAAAGUUUUUCGCCAUUAGAUGAGCCCGCGUUAGAUUAGCUAGUUGGUAGGGUAAUGGCCUACCAAGGCGACGAUCUAUAGCUGGUCUGAGAGGAUGAUCAGCCACACUGGGACUGAGACACGGCCCAGACUCCUACGGGAGGCAGCAGUGGGGAAUAUUGCACAAUGGGCGCAAGUGAUGCAGCCAUGCCGCGUGUGUGAUGAAGGCCUUAGGGUUGUAAAACACUUUCAUCGGUGAAGAUAAUGACGGUAGCCGAAGAAGAAGCCCCGGCUAACUCCGUGCCAGCAGCCGCGGUAAUACGGAGGGGGCAAGCGUUGUUCGGAAUUACUGGGCGUAAAGCGCACGUAGGCGGACUGGUCAGUUGGGGGUGAAAUCCCGAGGCUUAACCUCGGAACUGCCUUCAAUACUGCCAGUCUUGAGAUCGGAAGAGGUGAGUGGAAUUCCUAGUGUAGAGGUGAAAUUCGUAGAUAUUAGGAAGAACACCAGUGGCGAAGCGGCUCACUGGUCCGAUACUGACGCUGAGGUGCGAAAGGUGGGGAGCGAACAGGAUUAGAUACCCUGGUAGUCCACGCCGUAAACGAUGGAUGCUAGCCGGU